UAACGCGUAUGCAACCUACCUUAUACUGAGGGAUAGCCCAGAGAAAUUUGGAUUAAUACCUCAUAGUAUCAUUUGAAGGCAUCUGAGAAUGAUUAAAGAUUUAUCGGUAUAAGAUGGGCAUGCGUAAGAUUAGUUAGUUGGUGAGGUAACGGCUCACCAAGACUUCGAUCUUUAGGGGUUCUGAGAGGAUGAUCCCCCACACUGGUACUGAGAUACGGACCAGACUUC
rnacentral:rRNA from 1 species